rnacentral:rRNA from 1 species
GGGGAAUAUUGCACAAUGGGCGCAAGCCUGAUGCAGCAACGCCGUGUGAGUGAAGAAGGUUUUCGGAUCGUAAAACUCUGUCCUAAGGGAAGAAACAAAUGACGGUACCUUAGGAGGAAGCCCCGGCUAACUACGUGCCAGCAGCCGCGGUAAUACGUAGGGGGCAAGCGUUAUCCGGAAUCACUGGGCGUAAAGGGUGCGUAGGCGGCUUAGCAAGCCAGGGGUGAAAGGCAUUGGCUCAACCAAUGUAAGCCUUUGGAACUGUUAGGCUUGAGUGCAGGAGAGGUAAGUGGAAUUCCUAGUGUAGAGGUGAAAAUUCGUAGAUAUUAGGAGGAACACCAGUGGCGAAGGCGACUUACUGGACUGUAACUGACGCUGAUGCACGAAAGCGUGGGUAGCGAACAGGAUUAGACACCCUGGUAG